rnacentral:rRNA from 1 species
ACCUGUCCUGUAAUUGAUGAUCCACGAUUAAUUGUACUUAUUUUAAUGGUUUAUAUAUCGUCGUAGGUUGAAUGUUUUAAGAGAAUUAGGAAUGUUCAUGAUUUAUUUAUAUAGAGAAAAUCAGAUCAAGAUAUAGCGUAUAGAUAAGAAGAGAUGGGUUACAAUAAAUUUAUUUAUAUGGUUAGAAUAAUUAACAUUAUUUUAUAAAGUGGAUUUGAUAGUAAUAUAAUUAAUUUAAAUUAUAUGAUUUUAGCUCUAGAAUAUGCACAUAUCGCCCGUCGCUCCCAUUCCAAAGUGGGAUAAGUCGUAACAUAGUAGGUGUACUGGAAAGUGUACCUAGCAUGACAGAUUAGAGCUUGUUAUAAAGCAUUUUAUUUACAUUAAAAAGUUAAUUGUGAAAAUCAGUUUAAUUUGAAAUUAAUUAUUUAUAUUUAUUAUAUGAAAAAAGUAUUUUUUAUAUUAGUAUAUUUAAGAACAUAAGAUUUUAAUUAUAGAUAAUUUGUAUAGUGAUAGGAAGUUGAAAUAAUAGUUUAAUUAUUUAAAAGAAGAAUUAAAUUUUUGUACCUUGUGUGUCAGGGUUCAUUAAAAUAUAUUAAUUAUUUUGUAUUCUCGAAUUAAAAAGAGCUAAUAUAGUAUAUAUAUAAUUGUUGCAUAAAUUUUUAUAAUACUAUAUUUGUAAUGAAACGUUAUUCGUUUUUUAAAAUAUCUAGUUUCUUAAGAAAUAAAUUUAAUUUAGUUUUUUGAAUAUACUUGUAUUUACUUUUUAGUUUUGUAUUUUGAAAAAAUAAUAUUUUAUGGGAUAAGCUUUAAAAUAAAGUAUUAAAAAUAUUGUUUUAUUGAUAAAAAUUAGUAGGAUUGGAAAUGUUUUUCUUUAGUUUGUUAUAAUUAAUUUUUGUUUGUAUAAGAUUUAUAUUGAUUUUAAAUUUUUUAUUAAGAUAAUUUAUAUAAUAUUUACAUAUAUGUAAUAAUGAUGAAAUUAGUAUAGUUAAAUUUAUAGUUAUGUUGAAAGUUAAAGGUUAUAUUAAGGAAUUCGGCAAAAUGAUUUUCCGCCUGUUUAUUAAAAACAUGUCUUUUUGAUUAUAAUUUAAAGUCUAACCUGCCCAAUGAGGAAUUAAAUGGCCGCGGUAAUUUGACCGUGCAAAGGUAGCAUAAUCAUUAGUUUUUUAAUUGAAAGCUGGAAUGAACGGUUGGACGAGAAAAUAACUGUCUCAGUAUAAUUUAAUUUAGAAUUUUAUUUAUAAGUAAAAAAGCUUAUAUACAUUUAAAAGACGAGAAGACCCUAUAGAGUUUUAUAAUUAUUUAUAUUAUAUAUUUUUAGAAAUUUUUAGUAUUGUUUUUAGGUAAUUAUUUU